rnacentral:rRNA from 1 species
GAUGAAUGCUGGCGGCGUGCCUAACACAUGCAAGUCGAGCGGCAGCGAGGGGUGCUUGCACCCUGUCGGCGAGCGGCGAACGGCUGAGUAACGCGUAGGAAUUUGCCCCAAAGUGAGGAAUAACUGCCCGAAAGGGUAGCUAAUGCCGCAUAUGGUCUUCGGAUUAAAGGAUUUAUCCGCUUUGGGAGAAGCCUGCGUUGGAUUAGGUUGUUGGUACGGUAAUGGCCUACCAAGCCGACGAUCCAUAGCUGGUCUGAGAGGAUGAUCAGCCAGACUGGAACUGAGACACGGUCCAGACUCCUACGGGAGGCAGCAGUGAGGAAUCUUCCACAAUGGGCGAAAGCCUGAUGGAGCAACGCCGCGUGAAGGAUGAAGGCCUUCGGGUUGUAAACUUCUUUUAUGAGUGAAGAAUAUGACGGUAACUCAUGAAUAAGCACCGGCUAACUACGUG